UACGUAGGGUGCAAGCGUUGUCCGGAAUUAUUGGGCGUAAAGAGCUCGUAGGUGGCCUGUCGCGUCGGCUGUGAAAACUCGGGGCUCAACUCCGAGCUUGCAGUCGAUACGGGCAGGCUAGAGUUCGGCAGGGGAGACUGGGAUUCCUGGUGUAGCGGUGAAAUGCGCAGAUAUCAGGAGGAACACCGGUGGCGAAGGCGGGUCUCUGGGCCGUUACUGACGCUGAGGAGCGAAAGCGUGGGGAGCGAACAGG
rnacentral:rRNA from 1 species